UCAGAAGCGACCUGGCCACAAAUAAUAGCUCAACGAAGUGGCUCAUCAUGUGGACAUUUAUAGCAGCCAAAUACCCCUGAGCCAGUCCUGGCUACGCACAACCGCUCUGCUUGAGCGGCUGCAUCUCGCAAGAGCGCGGGGGCAUUGUGCGACCCUGCCGCUGGCUCGCUGUCUCCACCAAGCUGGCAAGCGAAAGUGCACGGCCGCUCACGGCUGCGCUCGCCACCCCCAGGGCUGGAGGAGAGCUCGUCCCAGCCUCCACCUGCAGCUUCGCUCCACGUUGAUCCCGGCACGCAGCACGCGGCGCUUCACGCGACGCGGCGCUGCUGUCGGAAUGCGGCGGAUCAUUCCGCCGCACGGCGCCAGUAAAUGCACACCCGUGUCACCGCACGUCAACCUACACCCGUACCGCCGCACGUACACAUUCACCCGUACCAUCCCACGCAAACGUACACCCGUAACCACCGCACACUGACUGGUUGGGAACGAUGCACAAGCCAGUUGUUUAAUUGCUUCUCGAUGAAGGCCUCCCCACGCUGUGCCGGAAUGCCGGCUGCUUGACGAAUACCUCACCACGCGAGACAUUAUGAAUUUGUAAUUGAUAAUAAAUAGGAUAGAGAGGAAGGAGUGCUGGAGGUUCUCAUGACUGUUCACUGAUGCUAGCCGUGACUGGCAAUCGAGCCCAGGUCGCCAGGUUCGUCGUCGCCCAGUGUGCUAACCACUGGGCCACCGCUCCACCCCAACAUGAGCACGGUACUUCUGCGAUUACCUGGCUCGCAGCUCGCGAGCGGAGCCCUGCCUGGCUGGGCGAGAGUCGUACCGAGUAGGGACACCCGUGCCAGUCAGGCACUCAGCCGGACACUGAAAUCUCGUUUCACCAACCCACAACUGAUCACAGCGCGGUGAAGGAUGGUCAACCCCGCCACCGGCGCACCACAAAAACACUGCACCAUCGCUCCGCUCCAACCCGCACAUUUUUGUUGUUUGACUUUCAUUGAAAUGGACAGGCAGGGAAAAUCACAAACAUGUCAAAUGCAUCUGACAAGGCGCGCUUCUGUUUUUCAACAUUUUUCUUCAAAUCGAGUAGUAUUGUUUGUGUUCAGGAUUAAAACGCCACCCAAGCUAAGUGUAAAAUGAAGUUGUCUGAAUUUGCGCACUCCACUGCAGAUAUCUGGGCAGCGCCGUCUGAAGCGGCGCGCACACGGCGCAUUACGCAUGCGAGGUGCGUUACAUACCACGCGGGCGAUUCACUGUACCACAUUAGCAUAGAAUACGAGGGGACGCGUGAGCACCCAUUUAGAAUUUGCAUGCAGAAGCAAUUAUGUGGCGGAGAGAGGCUGUUUAAUAUUCCACCGGUGUAAAGUGUUGGCACACACGGGCUCUGGGUGCUUGUAAAAACGAGCACCCAAUUUACUCUUAAUGCAUUCCGGCGAUAAUUAAAAUAUACAGAGGGGCAAUUCUGUCGCGCGCCUCGUGUGAAUGUCGAAUGCGCGCGGGGCGUUGCCGAAAAGAGAUUUGAUAAAUGUGGACGUGGUAUUGAUGAUGAUAAUUAAAAGAAGUAAUUAAAGGGACGCGAGGCGAUGGGCAGCUUCACCGACUGGGGCGGUGCCUGGAGGCCAUUGACAAGGCUAACGAUGCUGCGUUUUUUCAAGUGAGAGGAGGGGAGACGGGGAGAGCACGGAGGGGAGAGGGACGCUGGAGAGGGACGUGGGAGAGGGUGAGACCGGGACAGGGACUUCACCUUCACCUCCGAGCCGUGGAGCCGCCCACCCUAAAAUAUUUUACCGCGAGACCCCGUUCACAAGGAAUGUCGACAAACAUUACUGAUUUCGGACAAAUGUCAACCUCCCCGGCGUUCCCCGUGUGCGCCGCGUCUCCGUUCUCACACGCUGCUCGGCGCCAGCUGGCAGGAAGGAAGCUUUCGCAAGCGCCGCUGUCGUGAAUGGGGGCGGGCGGGGGGGGGGACUGGCCCCCGCCACGAGGUGCGUGAAUGACCGGAGAGGAAGGAAAGAGGAUGACUCUGUGUGUGUGUGUGUGCGUGGGUUUUUGUGUGUGUGUGGGUUUUCGCACCGCCACGCUGUUUCGCCACUGCCUCGUCCCAGGCCACCUGGCAGCGUGCGGGUCAAAGGUCACCGCUUGUGACUCGAAACGCGACCGGCGCUUCCAUCUGCGGUGGGAAAACAAAAGCCAUCCUCCUCCUGCUCCUUCGCCUGCCCCUCCACUACCGCCACGUGCACCUGCUCAUUAAUGGCUCGGUAGCAGCCACCUCGCGUUAAGUGCCGGCGCGCGUCAUUUAUCCCUUCAUUUAUUUCGCUUCGUAUUCAGGGGGAAAAAAAAAAUCGCACGGAACAAACCGCCCCCCCCCCCUUCCAAACCUUAACGCCGCUUUGUCGAAGGCGCCGUUUGAUUCGCGCGUCGCAGCCUCCGUGGAUGCUGCGACGCGCGAUGCGGGGGCACCGCAGCUGCCUCCGCCCCCGCACGCCGCCGCACGUGCGGAGGCGCAAAAAAAAAAACGCGCGCGCGCGCGCGCUCCACCGCUCCUCGUCCUCCUCUCGCCGGCACAGGGUGGGCCAAAGAUUAUUUGGCAGACGUGUCGUGGGGUGGGGGUACACAAAGACAAA